rnacentral:tRNA from 1 species
AGCCGGGAUAGCUCAGCGGUAGAGCAGUCGAUUCGUAAUCGACCGGUCGUGGGUUCAAAUCCCAUUCCCGGCUUUUA